GGCAGAGCCGGGCUGGCUCUGCAGCUUCUGAUUGUUUGUGCUCGUUAUCUCUGAUUUUUCAGUUUAAGCAUGAACCUCUGUUCAGAGUAAUGGGGGUAGUCAGUCAGCUGGGGGUCGUUUGGAUGAGUGUUGACAGUGUUGAGCUCUUUAUGCACAGUCAAAUCAUGUUUAAAGGUCAUAAUAGAUCUAAUUAUGACUGGAUUGUUCAUGUUAUGGAGGUGAAAACUGUGCUGUCAUGCAGCAGUCGUAUGUUCCUGCUUUGCAUGCCUUGGUCUGUCCCCGAUCAGGUCUGUGUUUCCCAACAAGAUAUCUCAGUCUGUUCCUUUCAUCUUCCUCACAAACGGCAUCCUGUAAAUGCAUCAAAGAUAAAAAAAAAAAAUAGACAUUUUGUGAUGCUGGACUGGAGGAAGUGUGUUUGAAUUCUCAUUUCAUCCAUGCAUUUUGUCACAUUUCUUGCAUGAUCAUCCAGAGUAAACAGCAAUGCUUCUUUUCCUCUGCAUUUAGUGGAAUUAACAUUAACUCAGUGACUAUCUUACAUGCUCUGAUGUAUCGGAUCAGCUGAAAUGUUCAGGUCAUGUAGAGACCAAAAAAAGACCACAAUGGUCAGCAGAAACAUCUCCUACCUUUGACAGUCGUCUCUAGUUCAUAUUGUU